AUGGAGAGUGAUGAUAUCCUACCUCAUCUAAGUGAUUAUAAGAUGAUAGUGACCAAUUUGCAAAAGCAAUAUCAUGUGUCCCCAU
rnacentral:sRNA from 1 species